UGUUUCAUUACAGGUGAUGGCAAUCAUAGAGGGAAGAGAGCAGAGUAUUCUGUCCCUCCUGGAGAGGGUCAUGUUGGGAGUCUACAACGUUCCACAGCAGAAAAAGAAACUGAACAAAACAGAACAAACGGUCAGAGCAAUGAUGUCCAUUAUCGUGGAGCACCUGUGUGAGGCGGAUAGUGAGCUGAAUUCCCAGAAAGAUUUACGAAUUGAGAGAUAUCUUGCGUCCGAAAAGGAAAUGCAUCAAUCAUUUAUGACGCAGUUAAUGACCAUGCAUGAGAGGCAGAUGUAAUUUUUUGAGCGCACAUUUGCACGUACUCUAGAGAUUACCACACAAGCACAACAGCAAGACACAGCCUACCCACAGCACCCAUAUGGUCCAUACAACUAUGAGCCUCCCUCAAAUCCCACAACACAAAUCCCGCAAUCCUCAGAAUAUCGGGUUUAUAGACAAUUGCCUUAAUUAAGGCAAGCUGUUGAUAAAACAAUGUUUGUGUGUUAAGGUUCUGUUUGCCUUUUUAUCUGUUUUAUUGUUAUCUCAAAGAUGUGCGGCAGUGGGAUCCGAAUAUUGAUACCUACAAAGCCAAAUGUUAGGGGAUUUUUACAGAGUGUUCUGUUUGCACUUUACUCUUUUAUAUUGUUACCCCUGAAUAUGUGCGGCAGUGGGAUCCAAAUAUUGGGGGUACCCUGGUACCUAGACAGCCAAAUGUUAGUGGAUUUUUCAGAAUGUUCUGUUUGCACUUUACUUUUUUAUAUUGUUAUCUCAGAAAACGUGCGGCAGUGGGAUCCAAAUAUUGGGGGUACCCUGAUACCUAGAAAGUCAAACGUUAGGGGAUUUUUACAGGGUUCUGUUUGCACUUUACUCUUUUAUAUUGUUAUCUCAGAAAAUGUGCGGCAGUGGGAUCCAAAUAUUGGGGUUACCCUGAUACCUGCCAAACAGUAGGGCAGGCGUCUUCAACAUGUGGCCCUUUAGCUGUUGUGGAAAUACAUAGCAAGGCAUCCUGGGACAUGUAGUUCUACAACAGCUGGAGGGCCACAUGUUGAAGAUCCCUUGCGUUAUGGGGAUUAUUACAGAGUGUUCUGUUUGCACUUCAAUAUUUUAUAUUGUUACCUCAGAAAAUGUGUGCCAACUGUUUAAAAGCAAACAUAUAAUAACUUAUAACUUUUGAACAAUUUUUAUAACAGAGAAAUUGUAGAAAACAAAAUAAACAAAAAACUGUUUGCACACAAAAA